UCUUCAGUAGUAUAGUGGUUAGCAUUUAUGUCUGUCAAGCUUGUGUGAGACCUGGAUUCAAUUCCUGGCUGGAGAG
rnacentral:tRNA from 1 species